GGCAACGGCGGUCGGGCAGCGGCGGUAACGCGGGGGGGGGAAGGGGUGUUGGGAAUGACUGGGCGGAAAGGGCGUGCAGUCGGGCAGGUAAGUGAGUGGCGAAAUGCCCCGGCUCACCCGGGGACCGGCAUCUCAUACUGCUUGGAUGGAGUACGGGAGAGGAUGUGGGAAUUCCUGGUGUAGCGGUGAAAUGCGUAGAUAUCAGGAGGAACACCGGUGGCGAAGGCGCACAUCUGGCCCGAUACUGACGCUGAGGCGCGAAAGCUAGGGGAGCAAACGGGAUUAGAUACCCCAGUAGUC
rnacentral:rRNA from 1 species